rnacentral:rRNA from 1 species
UACGAAGGGGGCUAGCGUUGCUCGGAAUUACUGGGCGUAAAGGGCGCGUAGGCGGAUCGUUUAGUUGGGGGUGAAAGCCCAGGGCUCAACCCUGGAACUGCCUUCAAUACUGGCGAUCUAGAGUAUGACAGAGGUGUGUGGAACUCCGAGUGUAGAGGUGAAAUUCGUAGAUAUUCGGAAGAACACCAGUGGCGAAGGCGACACACUGGGUCAUUACUGACGCUGAGGCGCGAAAGCGUGGGGAGCAAACAGG